rnacentral:rRNA from 1 species
UCUGGUGGCAAUAGCAAAGAGGUCACACCUUUUCCCAUGCCGAACACAGAAGUUAAGCUCUUUAGCGCCGAUGGUAGUCGGACUAACGUUCCGCUAGAGUAGGACGUUGCCAGGC